GCAUCACUGUCACCUUUCUCUCACUAUCACCCAGCAUCCGAGCCCUCCUCCCAGCUGAGACAGGGGCGCUCUGCCCGGGCCCUCCCCUCCCUCCCAAAGGAGCCCUGGGCCUCCCCUCGUGACUGCGAUAAACAUUACACUGAGGCUGUUAAUGUUUAAUGAGGUUUGCCUCCCAAUUACUGUGCUUUCCCCUGGGUGCCCACUCCCAGUGCCAGACGCCCGUUGGACGGCACGCCGACACGAUGGGGGACGAGCAAGCACCCGAGCAGGGCCCGGACAGGUUCACCUACGACUAUGAGACCAUCCGCUACGGGGG
rnacentral:lncRNA from 1 species